UCCCUGCUGGUCCAAUGGUUAAGACUUUGCGCUCCCAAUGCAGGGGACCUGGGUUCCAUCCCUGGUCAAGGAA
rnacentral:tRNA from 1 species